AAUGAAAUCAAUGGAAUUCUCAGAACAAAUCAAACAUAUGCUGUAAUAACCUUGAUCUUCUUUUGAUCUUCUUAAGUGUGGAUCUGCGUGAUUAUAAUUCUGAUACAGCUGAAAGAAACAAUACGUUUUUGCACAGUGCAACACAAGACACCCAGAAUUAUAGAAGUAAUUCUUUUGUAAAUUCAAUGGGUUUUUUAUUAAAGGAAAAGAAAAGAGUCUCCUGGUUGAUUCUUAUGUACCUGGUAAAGGACAAUGAUGCCAGAGAAACAAAAACUUCUGCUGCUUUGUGUUGUAUCACCUUCAUCAUAUCACCUAUCUGCAGUGUCACUACAUGCCAUCAUCAGUCUUAUUUCUGUCUUUAUUACUGAGACUCUGCCAAAGUGCUUACUGACAAGUGCUUACUCUUCCCCACCAUGACCCUAUCCCAAUAUGGGACAUACCCAGCAGAAAAGGUCCACUGCUACCCUGGAGACUUCAUGCAUAUUGUAUCAAAGAGCCUUCCAUGACAAGAGAGACCCAGUUGGAUUCCCUGGCUACAGAGACACAGUUGUAUACAAUUCAUAACCAUCAAUUGUCUACUAAACUUUAAAUUAUGUAGAAUUAGCAACGGGUUGAUGACCCUGUAGAUCAUCAGGAAGGAAGGAAGGAAGGAAGGAAGGAACCAUAACACAUACUCAGGAUCUUCAGCACAAGCAUGUGGACCUGCUAUCUGAGCUCUUGGAAGAUUGCUUCUGUUGGAAACAAGAUGUUGGGACUAGAUGGCUUUUUUUAUCUGACCCAGCAACACAGUUCUUAAAUAUGGCACUAUGAAGUCGUCGGUGGUUAUAAACAAAUUCUAGAGUUCACCAAUUUUUGCAUUUUUUAAAUGCAAAAGCAAUGUGUGAUUAGUAAAUGAAGACCAAACUAAUUUAAGCACAUUUAUUCCAUUAAAAACCAUAAGCUUUUCCAGUGUAAUACAUGGAAGGAUUACUUGGCACUGGGCUGGGUCUGCUCUUCUAAGCUAGCCAUUUUUAUCUCACAACUCUGACAUUUAAAAUCUUUUGGCAAGAAUCUCAUUUAUUAUGCAUUGUCAGCCUAAUUCAUUAUUUGUGUGACUUUAUAGGCAGAAAAAGAAAUAAUGGAUUAUAUCAACUGCAUGUCACUUAAUGAAGAUAAAGAGUAACUUAAUUUCCAUAUUAAUUUCUCUAUUAAAAUGACAGUAGGUAGUAGUGUAACCUUUGGGGUCAGGUUAAUUGUUUCAGUUAUGGGCGUCUAGACAAAGUAUAAUGUAGUUUUAAGUUUCCAUAUGCUCCUGAUCCAUUUUAUUCUCAAGCACCAGCACUGCCACCCCUCUUGUGAAAGUUAAUUGGGAAAAGAAUGUUCAGAGUUGAAGGGCAGCAUUUCUUAUAGGAGCAGUUUCCAUUUGCCCUAGUGAUUUAUAUGAAUGUGCACAUUAGAGCAAUGUCGUAUCAUUCGUUUCAAAAUGUCAGUUGUGGAGUGAAGAGACCCUGGAGUCGAAUCUUCUCUUUUUUUAAAUGUGUGGAUUCUCCCAUGGGUCUUUUGUUGCCAUGGAAAGAGUUGUGCUCCUGUCCCCAUGCUUGCUUUUUGUGCUUUUUCUUAGGUUGCAACUAUUAAGGGUAUAAUGCAAGUGUUCCCAUGUUAAAGCUGCGGGGGGCACUAAAGGUAAAGGGACCCUUGACCAUUAGGUCCAGUUGCGGACGACUCUGGUGUUGCGGCGCUCAUCUUGCUUUAUUGGCCACGGGAGCCGGUGUACAGCUUCCAGGCCAUGUGGCCAGCAUGACUAAGCCGCUUCUGGCAAACUAGAGCAGUGCACAGAAACGCUGUUUACCUUCCCGCCAGAGUGGUAUCUAUUUAUCUACUUGCACUUUGAUGUGCUUUUGAACUGCUAGGUUGGCAGGAGCUGGGACCGAGCAACGGGAGCUCACCCCGUCACGGGGAUUCGAACUGCCUACCUUCUGAUCGGCAAGCCCUAGGCUCUGUCGUUUAACCCACAGCGCCACCCGCGUGGGGCACUAUUACCCAUAAAUGCUAUGCAUACAUAAACUUUGGUAUCCAUUUUCUUUACUGCCUGCCAAAACUCCUAAUGAGCUCAAAGAUAGUAUGGAGUAAGUAUGAAACAUAAGCCCAAACUAAGCCCUCACUUGUAAAAGAGGGAAUCAUGAAACAGUCUCUUUUCGUUUCUCAUUGGAUUUACUUGCUAGGUUUUAAGCUUCUAAAAACUCAAGUUUUCAAUGUAACAAUAGGAAAUGAAUGUCCGUGGCUGCAAUUCUGUGAGGCCAUUGAACUUAUUGACUUACUUCCAAGAGAAUCUGCUGAGGACUGGACUUCAUACUUUUAAAUCCACAAGAACCAUGAUCACCAUAGGCGUGGUAAUACUAAGCCAAACUAUUAGUAAGCUUGAAUGAGUGAGUGUGUGAGUACAUGGAGGGAAAAUUGUGCCUAUGCAUCUCUUCCUCGUUCCUGCUUCUGCCAUUGUACCCAAAGCUAGGCUAUGGUUUGACCUAGCAUUAUUAUGUCUGAACCCAGGCUUAUGGUUUGUCUUACUUGAGAAAAACCACCAGCUGUAGCCACAGUUUGUUUUUAGCCUUGUAGGCCUGUGAACAUUUGGGACUUACCUGGUUGUUUUCUUUGUUUUUGAUGCUCUUAACUACAUUAGUACUCAGCACUUGACUUGGAGAUGAGGCUGAAUUUGAAAGCUUGUUGGAUGCAGGAAAUUGCUGUAAUGGAAAUAGAGAUAGAUGUUGCAUGCAUAUAUGUGUGUGUGUGUGUGUGCAUGUGCUGCAUGUAUGCUGUUGGAUCCUUUAUUUUAAAAAAUGUCAAGCAGCUUGAAGAUUAAAAUGAAAAGCAAACCAACUUCACAUAACAUAAGGUUAUGGGGGAGGGAAACCCUUAGAAUUUGCAGCAGAAUAGAAGAGCUACAGUAUGCAUUCACAUACUAAAUAUCUGCGUUUUCUACAUCUCUUUUAAGUCUUCCGUGAACAAUUUAUAGCCAUACUUUGCAAACAUUAAACCUUCACAAGAACCCUAUCCACAUUAAUUAGUCUGAUCCGUGGACAUUCUAUGUUCUAGGAAAUUAUUAUUCUGAUAUGCACACCCAUUCCCGUUGAUGUGUUGUUCAGGCUUGUUGUUGACCUAUGUGAGGAAAGAGUGUCCCUAAACAUACUAUGCUCUCUCAGGUGGUUGCACAUUUCAAGGAAUACCAACAAUGGUGGGCAAACUGUCUUUCAGAGAUAAUUGUUAGGUAAUUUUUAUUAUUAUUAUUAUUUUAGAACGAAUAUUUCCAUGUGAUUGACAAUUCACAAAGUAACCAAAUAUCUCCUAGAUUUAAUCCAAGUAUGUAUCUUGUUUAGGUAUUUAUUGUCAGGAGUUCAGCCUACACUCGAGUAGGACUCUGGCAGAGACACAUGCCCGACUGGCAUGUUCCCUCCUUCUUGGUCGAUCAUUCGGGAGCUUCAAAAGCUUUCUCCUGCCCGAACAUCACAGCGACCGAUGCCAAUCGACACCGGCACACUUAGGGGUCCACAGAGUUUGCACAGUUGCGUAACAGACCUCAGCAACUCAGCAUUUUAGCUAAUCUACUUUAUUUACAUAUAAACACACACGGAACAGUGCAACAUGGCUCCCUCUCUAUCUAGCAUCAGACAGCAAAGAGAAAAAGAACAAAGGGCAAUAGUCCCACUUCAUGGAACACAGUAACACAAACAUCCUGUCUUCGUCACUUCCCACUCUGUGGAGUCAAAACAUAUACCGUCAUGUGAAAGACAAAAAUCCUAUGACUGCAAUCAUGGAGCAGGAAUUCUAACAUUUAUAUAUACACCGUAGUAGUUGGUUUAUUCUCAGAGUUUGCCUCCAAUGCAAGGACAGGUGUAUUACUCUAAUCAGCCUUAAUGGCAUGAAAUGUUUCUAAACAUUUGCAAGCCAUCAUUUCCUUUUACUUUUUAAAUUCCUUAUUUUUAUCUUGGAUUCUGUCCCAAACAUCUGAAAGCUAAUUCAUUUAUAUUUGUUUUGUGUACACACACAGGCACAUUGAAAUUUGUUUGCAAGCAGCAAUUCAAAUUGAGGAAGAGGGGGUAAAAAAGGCUUCUCAGUUAUCAGCAGCAGGCAGUUUUAUCCCAGGAAUUAUGUGGUCAAUGCUAGAGGUUUAUAAAUGUCAAAAAUCCUAAUAAGCUUUGAUUAUGUCAGGGGUUGCUUUUCCAUUCUUCUCAAGAGGAGCAUGUUUCUGUAUAAUGUGAAAUGGUAGCAAAAUGUCUGCUGUUAAGAGGUCACAAUAUGAAUUUGAUUAUUAUCCUAGAGUAGUUGCAAGCUUUUGAUUCCACCAGGUUUCCCAGUGCGUUCAAGUCAAUUUUGUGGCUGGCAUAUUGCUCAGCUUUGCUGAAUCAGAUCCAAAGCAGAUUUGGCAGGCUCAGAUUCUAGGAAUGACAUUAUUCUAGGCUACAAGAGGGAUUGCUCCAUGACUUGACUUGCCCUCAUGCUUCUUUUCACAGGUGUUGCUCAGCUUCUUACAACCAGAUGCCAGAAAUAGCAGGAAAAGUGGGCUGGGGGAAGCUUAUCUUAUGUAUAAGAGAGAUCAGACCUGCAACUUGGCUAUAUUAGCAGUUGUCAGAUUUGGAAUGGCCCUUCAACAAUCCAACAGGUUGUAGUGUCAGAUGGAUAUACAGUGGUACCUCUACUUACAGAUGCGAUCCGUUCUGGGGUGCCGUUCACACCCUGAAAAGUCUGUAAGUAGAGCGCAGCUUCUGCAUGUGCGUGUGACACGAUAGAGCGCUCCUGCGCAUGCACAAAGCGGCGAAUCCGGAAGUAAACACUUCCGGGUUUGCUGCGUUCGUAACCUGAAAAAAUGCAAUGUGAAGCAAACGCAGCUCGAGGUUUGACUGUAAUGUUAAGCUUGUUACAAAUGCAUGGUCCAUGGCUGGUGAGUGUUGCCAGAACUGUUGCUGGAAGAGUUGCUUCCAGCUUGUGAUUUCAUGUACCUCUGAGGUCUUUUCUGGUUGCGGGGCCUGAGUGGAUUGGGCCAGAGCUCCAGAUGACCCCCUUGUUCAGUGAACUGACACAGGGUUUGCAAUAUCCCUGCAAAAGGGUUGUGUUGUCUACGAGUGAUGAACAUUUAUAGUCCUGCCCACAUAGUGCCACAGGAAUUGAGUUCGGAGCCUCUUGUCCAAGCAUGCUAGUUAACCCUACCCCGAAUAUAAAAGCUUACCCCUUGGAUAAGAAGUGCUUCAUUAGUUUACAAUUUGUAUAGAAUUCAAUGAUGACAUUUGCCCUGUAUUUUCAUUUCAGAAUUAUGGCUUAACACUAUAGAUAUUAAUUUUCUGCAAGAGUUAUUUCCCUCAUCAUUAGGUAGUUAUUUUUGAGAUGCUUAAACUUGUUCUCCCUGACAGUAGUUUAAAGGAGCAUUCAGGGAAUGUAAUUGGUUGGGAAAUUACACUCUUUACUACUGCUUCAUGAAUGCAGCUUUUUGCAUGUUAUCAGAAAUAAUUUUGCUCUCUUGUUUGCGUCAGCUUCUUCACUCUCCAAAGACUGAAAUCAAAUCUCUCAAAAGAUACGAAUAAGAUAAUAAUCACUCUACAGAAUACCCCACACUGUUUCUUUAGCAAGAAAAAAUGAGAGGGGCGGCGAUUGUAUAUGGAUUGGCAUGCAAUAUAUAGUUUUCCCCAAAACCAUGGUAACAAAAACAUAGUUCUUUUUU